rnacentral:rRNA from 1 species
UAUACGACCGUACCGCAAACCGACACUGGUGCGCGAGAUGAGUAUUCUAAGGCGCUUGAGAGAACUCAGGAGAAGGAACUCGGCAAAUUGACACCGUAACUUCGGAAGAAGGUGUGCCCUAUUAGUGUGUAGUGAACAACGAAGCAUGAAUGGGUUGCAAAAAAUCGGUGGCUGCGACUGUUUAUUAAAAACACAGCACUCUGCAAACACGAAAGUGGACGUAUAGGGUGUGACGCCUGCCCGGUGCUGGAAGAUUAAAUGAUGGGGUGCAAGCUCUUGAUUGAAGUCCCAGUAAACGGCGGCCGUAACGAUAACGGUCCUAAGGUAGCGAAAUUCCUUGUCGGGUAAGUUCCGACCUGCACGAAUGGCGUAACGAUGGCCACACUGUCUCCUCCUGAGACUCAGCGAAGUUGAAAUGUUUGUGAUGAUGCAAUCUCCCCGCGGAAAGACGGAAAGACCCCAUGAACCUUUACUGUAGCUUUGUAUUGGACUUUGAACAGAUCUGUGUAGGAUAGGUGGGAGGCUUUGAAGCAGGGUCGCUAGAUCUUGUGGAGCCAACGUUGAAAUACCACCCUGGUGUGUUUGAGGUUCUAACCUAGGUCCAUUAUCUGGAUUGGGGACUGUGCAUGGUAGGCAGUUUGACUGGGGCGGUCUCCUCCCAAAGCGUAACGGAGGAGUUCGAAGGUACGCUAGUUACGGUCGGACAUCGUGACGAUAGUGCAAUGGCAUAAGCGUGCUUAACUGCGAGACCGACAAGUCGAGCAGAUGCGAAAGCAGGACAUAGUGAUCCGGUGGUUCUGUAUGGAAGGGCCAUCGCUCAACGGAUAAAAGGUACUCUGGGGAUAACAGGCUGAUACCGCCCAAGAGUUCAUAUCGACGGCGGUGUUUGGCACCUCGAUGUCGGCUCAUCUCAUCCUGGGGCUGUAGCCGGUCCCAAGGGUAUGGCUGUUCGCCAUUUAAAGAGGUACGUGAGCUGGGUUUAAAACGUCGUGAGACAGUUUGGUCCCUAUCUUCCGUGGGCGCUGCAGAUUUGAGGAAGCCUGCUCCUAGUACGAGAGGACCGGAGUGGACACACCUCUGGUGCAUCGGUUGUCACGCCAGUGGCAUUGCCGAGUAGCUAAGUGUGGAAGAGAUAACCGCUGAAAGCAUCUAAGCGGGAAACUCGUUUCAAGAUGAGAUCUGCCGGGGCCUUGAGCCCCCUAAAGAGUCGUUCAAGACCAGGACGUUGAUAGGUCAGGUGUGGAAGC